UACGUAGGGGGCAAGCGUUGUCCGGAUUUAUUGGGCGUAAAGAGCGUGUAGGCGGCCAGGUAGGUCGGUUGUGAAAACUCGAGGCUCAACCUCGAGAUGUCGACCGAAACCAUCUGGCUAGAGUCCGGAAGAGGAGAAUGGAAUUCCCGGUGUAGCGGUGAAAUGCGCAGAUAUCGGGAGGAACACCGGUGGCGAAGGCGGUUCUCUGGGCAUUACCUGACGCUGAGGAGCGAAAGUGUGGGGAGCGAACAGG
rnacentral:rRNA from 1 species